rnacentral:rRNA from 1 species
UACGGAGGGUGCAAGCGUUGUCCGGAUUCAUUGGGCUUAAAGGGAGCGCAGGCGGGACAUUAAGUCAGGGGUGAAAGACGGUUGCUCAACAAUCGCAGUGCCUUUGAUACUGGUGUUCUUGGGUGACCUUGAGGUAGGCGGAAUGGGUGGUGUAGCGGUGAAAUGCAUAGAUACCACCCAGAACUCCGAUUGCGAAGGCAGCCUACUGGAGGUUUACCGACGCUCAGGCACGAAAGCGUGGGGAUCAAACAGG